UUUUAUUCUGUUGAAGGUGGUGACCAUUUUGUGGUAGAUUCAAUUGCUGUGUGCUCCAGAUCUACACUGAUAUGUGCCUUCGUAAAACAUUUAGCAUAUGCUUCAAAAUCCUUUGCUGAGCAAAUUUUCCUUAGUCUUGGGAAUAGAAAGACAGCUGUGCAGCUGGGCAGGUGGACAGCAGCACUGAGACUGAAGGGAUGCAGUGUCUUUCUCUGCCUCAGAGCAUCAGGACAGGUCCACUCUCUGACUCAGAUCAUAUUUCCAUGGAUGUGGGUAAGAAAUGAGAUUAUUCUGUUUCUCAGUCUUUCCAGUCCUGAAGUCUUUGUCUAUAGCACAUGAGUCUACUUCAUGGAAGUAAUAAUUUAACGUUUUUCCUCAUAGCAUUUUGAUCCACUCAGGCUGGAGUCUAUACAGCAACAAAAAGUUGAAUGUGUCUCAUGUCUGCAAAUGUAGAUGUAUGGAGAUAGUAACACCAUUUCUUCUUAGACUUAAGUUCUUUUUUUUGUAAUGUGUGCUGCUGUGAGAGCUGUGUUCAAAGUGCAGAUGAGUUUCACCCAUGCUGCCAAGGUGGCUUUAUCCUCAGCUCCCUUUGAAUUACAUGCUUGUCACUCUGAUAAUAAUUUUCUGACCUCUGAAUCACUACAUUAAGGCAACUCUGUCUGCUUGGACUCCUUUAAUGUUAAUAUCAUCUAUAUUUAGCUUCUACUAUAAACCUAAAUAAAGUAAGAUAUAACAAUCA
rnacentral:lncRNA from 1 species